AAGCUAUGUUAGGGUUUGUUUCUAUAGUACCAGGUUAAGAAAUGUAGUUAAAACAAUAUUGUGAGUCUUUUGCCAUAAUUAUGAUGUCUGAUGUGCUCUUCUGUGCAUGAACUGGUUUGAACCUGGUGGCUCUUUCAUGAGUUUUAAAUUUUGUUGAAUGUUCUUUGUUUCUUAUAUUGAGGGAGAGUGCAUGAUCAGAGUGAU